GGCAGCAGUGGGGAAUCUUCGUCAAUGGGGGAAACCCUGAACGAGCGAUGCCGCGUGAGUGAUGACGGUCUUUUCGAUUGUAAAACUCUGUGGUUUGGAAAGAAUGACCAAAGUAGGAAAUGACUUUGGAGUGACGGUACCAUUCUAGAAAGCCCCGGCUAACUAUGUGCCAGCAGCCGCGGUAAUACAUAGGGGGCGAGCGUUGUCCGGAUUUAUUGGGCGUAAAGCGUGUGUAGGCGGUUUAUUAAGUCUAAGGUUAAAGGCUGAAGCUUAACUUCAGUAUGCCUUGGAAACUGGUAGACUUGAGUAUGGUAGAGGCAAGUGGAAUUUCUAGUGUAGCGGUUAAAUGCGUAGAUAUUAGAAGGAACACCAGUGGCGAAGGCGGCUUGCUGGGCUAUUACUGACGCUGAGACACGAAAGCGUGGGGAGCAAAUAGGAUUAGAUACCCUAGUAGUCCACGCCGUAAACGAUGAGUGCUAAGUGU
rnacentral:rRNA from 1 species